GGUUAAGCGACUAAGCGUACACGGUGGAUGCCCUGGCAGUCAGAGGCGAUGAAGGGCGUGCUAAUCUGCGAUAAGCGCCGGUAAGGUGAUAUGAACCGUUAUAACCGGCGAUACCCGAAUGGGGAAACCCAGUGUGACUCGUCACACUAUCAUUAACUGAAUCCAUAGGUUAAUGAGGCGAACCGGGGGAACUGAAACAUCUAAGUACCCCGAGGAAAAGAAAUCAACCGAGAUUCCCCCAGUAGCGGCGAGCGAACGGGGAGGAGCCCAGAGCCUGAAUCAGCAUGUGUGUUAGUGGAAGCGUCUGGAAAGGCGCGCGAUACAGGGUGACAGCCCCGUACACAAAAGCGCAUGUGCUGUGAGCUCGAUGAGUAGGGCGGGACACGUGGUAUCCUGUCUGAAUAUGGGGGAGAUAUCCUCCAAGGCUAAAUACUCCUGACUGACCGAUAGUGAACCAGUACCGUGAGGGAAAGGCGAAAAGAACCCCGGCGAGGGGAGUGAAAAAGAACCUGAAACCGUGUACGUACAAGCAGUGGGAGCACAGGUUUACCUGUGUGACUGCGUACCUUUUGUAUAAUGGGUCAGCGACUUAUAUUCUGUAGCAAGGUUAACCGAAUAGGGGAGCCGGAGGGAAACCGAGUCUUAACCGGGCGUUAAGUUGCAGGGUAUAGACCCGAAACCCGGUGAUCUAGCCAUGGGCAGGUUGAAGGUUGGGUAACACUAACUGGAGGACCGAACCGACUAAUGUUGAAAAAUUAGCGGAUGACCUGUGGCUGGGGGUGAAAGGCCAAUCAAACCGGGAGAUAGCUGGUUCUCCCCGAAAGCUAUUUAGGUAGCGCCUCGUGAAUUCAUCUCCGGGGGUAGAGCACUGUUUCGGCUAGGGGGCCAUCCCGGCUUACCAACCCGAUGCAAACUGCGAAUACCGGAGAAUGUUAUCACGGGAGACACACGGCGGGUGCUAACGUCCGUCGUGAAGAGGGAAACAACCCAGACCGCCAGCUAAGGUCCCCAAAGUCAUGGUUAAGUGGGAAACGAUGUGGGAAGGCCCAGACAGCCAGGAUGUUGGCUUAGAAGCAGCCAUCAUUUAAAGAAAGCGUAAUAGCUCACUGGUCGAGUCGGCCUGCGCGGAAGAUGUAACGGGGCUAAACCAUGCACCGAAGCUGCGGCAGCGAACGUAUCACUUAAAGCGAUUCAGCGGGUUACGAUUGACGGAGCGAAGCGACGUCAAAGCGUAUACAAAGUCGAGUCGGUUUAAGGAUACGUUCGUUGGGUAGGGGAGCGUUCUGUAAGCCUGUGAAGGUGUGUCGUGAGGCAUGCUGGAGGUAUCAGAAGUGCGAAUGCUGACAUAAGUAACGAUAAAGCGGGUGAAAAGCCCGCUCGCCGGAAGACCAAGGGUUCCUGUCCAACGUUAAUCGGGGCAGGGUGAGUCGACCCCUAAGGCGAGGCCGAAAGGCGUAGUCGAUGGGAAACGGGUUAAUAUUCCCGUACUUGGUGUUACUGCGAAGGGGGGACGGAGAAGGCUAUGUUGGCCGGGCGACGGUUGUCCCGGUUUAAGCGUGUAGGCUGGUUUUCCAGGCAAAUCCGGAAAAUCAAGGCUGAGGCGUGAUGACGAGGCACUACGGUGCUGAAGCAACAAAUGCCCUGCUUCCAGGAAAAGCCUCUAAGCAUCAGGUAACAUCAAAUCGUACCCCAAACCGACACAGGUGGUCAGGUAGAGAAUACCAAGGCGCUUGAGAGAACUCGGGUGAAGGAACUAGGCAAAAUGGUGCCGUAACUUCGGGAGAAGGCACGCUGACACGUAGGUGAAGUGAUUUACUCAUGGAGCUGAAGUCAGUCGAAGAUACCAGCUGGCUGCAACUGUUUAUUAAAAACACAGCACUGUGCAAACACGAAAGUGGACGUAUACGGUGUGACGCCUGCCCGGUGCCGGAAGGUUAAUUGAUGGGGUCAGCGCAAGCGAAGCUCCUGAUCGAAGCCCCGGUAAACGGCGGCCGUAACUAUAACGGUCCUAAGGUAGCGAAAUUCCUUGUCGGGUAAGUUCCGACCUGCACGAAUGGCGUAAUGAUGGCCAGGCUGUCUCCACCCGAGACUCAGUGAAAUUGAACUCGCUGUGAAGAUGCAGUGUACCCGCGGCAAGACGGAAAGACCCCGUGAACCUUUACUAUAGCUUGACACUGAACAUUGAGCCUUGAUGUGUAGGAUAGGUGGGAGGCUUUGAAGCGUGGACGCCAGUCUGCGUGGAGCCGACCUUGAAAUACCACCCUUUAAUGUUUGAUGUUCUAACGUGGACCCGUGAUCCGGGUUGCGGACAGUGUCUGGUGGGUAGUUUGACUGGGGCGGUCUCCUCCUAAAGAGUAACGGAGGAGCACGAAGGUUGGCUAAUCCUGGUCGGACAUCAGGAGGUUAGUGCAAUGGCAUAAGCCAGCUUGACUGCGAGCGUGACGGCGCGAGCAGGUGCGAAAGCAGGUCAUAGUGAUCCGGUGGUUCUGAAUGGAAGGGCCAUCGCUCAACGGAUAAAAAGGUACUCCGGGGAUAACAGGCUGAUACCGCCCAAGAGUUCAUAUCGACGGCGGUGUUUGGCACCUCGAUGUCGGCUCAUCACAUCCUGGGGCUGAAGUAGGUCCCAAGGGUAUGGCUGUUCGCCAUUUAAAGUGGUACGCGAGCUGGGUUUAGAACGUCGUGAGACAGUUCGGUCCCUAUCUGCCGUGGGCGCUGGAGAACUGAGGGGGCUGCUCCUAGUACGAGAGGACCGGAGUGGACGCAUCACUGGUGUUCGGGUUGUCAUGCCAAUGGCACUGCCCGGUAGCUAAAUGCGGAAGAGAUAAGUGCUGAAAGCAUCUAAGCACGAAACUUGCCCCGAGAUGAGUUCUCCCUGAGACUUAAAGUCUCCUGAAGGAACGUUGAAGACGACGACGUUGAUAGGCCGGGUGUGUAAGCGCAGCGAUGCGUUGAGCUAACCGGUACUAAUGAACCGUGAGGCUUAACCUU
rnacentral:rRNA from 1 species